AAGACCGUGAGGUGGAGCAAAACUCAAAAACUUAGUCUCAGUUCGGAUUGUAGGCUGAAACUCGCCUACAUGAAGCUGGAGUUGCUAGUAAUCGCGAAUCAGCAUGUCGCGGUGAAUACGUUCCCGGGCCUUGUACACACCGCCCGUCACACCAUGAGAGUUGGCAAUACCCAACGUACGUGAUCUAACCCGCAAGGGAGGAAGCGUCCUAAGGUAGGGUCAGCGAUUGGGGUGAAGUCGUAACAAGGUAUC
rnacentral:rRNA from 1 species